AGGCCCGGGAACGUAUUCACCGCGGCGUGCUGAUCCGCGAUUACUAGCGAUUCCGACUUCAUGUAGGCGAGUUGCAGCCUACAAUCCGAACUGAGAUUGGCUUUAAGAGAUUAGCUCGCCGUCACCGACUCGCAACUCGUUGUACCAACCAUUGUAGCACGUGUGUAGCCCAGGUCAUAAGGGGCAUGAUGAUUUGACGUCAUCCCCACCUUCCUCCGGUUUAUUACCGGCAGUCUCGCUAGAGUGCCCAACUGAAUGAUGGCAACUAACAAUAGGGGUUGCGCUCGUUGCGGGACUUAACCCAACAUCUCACGACACGAGCUGACGACAACCAUGCACCACCUGUCACCGAUGUACCGAAGUAACUUUCUAUCUCUAGAAAUAGCAUCGGGAUGUCAAGACCUGGUAAGGUUCUUCGCGUUGCUUCGAAUUAAACCACAUGCUCCACCGCUUGUGCGGGCCCCCGUCAAUUCCUUUGAGUUUCAACCUUGCGGUCGUACUCCCCAGGCGGAGUGCUUAAUGCGUUAGCUGCGGCACUGAAUCCCGGAAAGGAUCCAACACCUAGCACUCAUCGUUUACGGCGUGGACUACCAGGGUAUCUAAUCCUGUUCGCUCCCCACGCUUUCGAGCCUCAGCGUCAGUUACAGACCAGAGAGCCGCUUUCGCCACCGGUGUUCCUCCAUAUAUCUACGCAUUUCACCGCUACACAUGGAAUUCCACUCUCCCCUUCUGCACUCAAGUUUGACAGUUUCCAAAGCGAACUAUGGUUGAGCCACAGCCUUUAACUUCAGACUUAUCAAACCGCCUGCGCUCGCUUUACGCCCAAUAAAUCCGGACAACGCUCGGGACCUACGUAUUACCGCGGCUGCUGGCACGUAGUUAGCCGUCCCUUUCUGGUAAGCUACCGUCACAGUGUGAACUUUCCACUCUCACACCCGUUCUUGACUUACAACAGAGCUUUACGAUCCGAAAACCUUCUUCACUCACGCGGCGUUGCUCGGUCAGGGUUGCCCCCAUUGCCGAAGAUUCCCUACUGCUGCCUCCCGUAGGAGUCUGGGCCGUGUCUCAGUCCCAGUGUGGCCGAUCACCCUCUCAGGUCGGCUAUGUAUCGUCGCCUAGGUGAGCCAUUACCUCACCUACUAGCUAAUACAACGCAGGUCCAUCUUGUAGUGGAGCAAUUGCCCCUUUCAAAUAAAUGACAUGUGUCAUCCAUUGUUAUGCGGUAUUAGCUAUCGUUUCCAAUAGUUAUCCCCCGCUACAAGGCAGGUUACCUACGCGUUACUCACCCGUUCGCAACUCAUCCAAGAAGAGCAAGCUC
rnacentral:rRNA from 1 species